rnacentral:tRNA from 1 species
GUUCCUGUAGUGCAAUGGAUAGCGCUUUGGACUUCUAAUCCACAGGUUGUGGGUUUGAAUCCCACCUGGGAUA